rnacentral:lncRNA from 1 species
UAAUUGGGACUUGUCAAAAUUACAGUUGCAUUUUUUAAUGGCGUCCGGAUCAGUCCUUUUUGACACGUAAAAUUAGUGCUUGGCUUUCAUUACAUUAAAAACUGCACUUAUUACAUUGCCCUGGACUUAAUUGAUUGUGAGAUCUUUAUUGUUGCAGUUAAAAUAAGGUGUUUUUUAUGAUUAUCUAAAAAGUAAACACAUCAUACUUCCUAUAAACUAGCCAUUGAGCUUUUAGUGUUCUGUAAAAAAUAAACUCAUCCUCAGAUUUAGAGGUUGCGAGUCCAAUUGAGGCUGGAUAAGUUGGCUCUUUCAGAACAUUCUGUAAACUUGCGAAAGACAAGGACUGUUGGAGUAGGCAUGUCAAAAUUGUUUAAGAAGAGGAAAGAAAAUGUCAAACCCCGUCAACUGCGCCAUCGUUUUUUGCACACCUUGACAAAUGCCAUUGAAGAAGAAACGAACGUGAGCUGGGGGAUGAAUUUAUGACAGAGAGCGGCUUUAUGGGUGACGAUGAAGAGGAAAUAUCCUAUGAUGACUCCAACAAUGACAAUGUAGAGUUUUUCUCCGUUCACCAAAUAGAAAGGGAUGAUAGCCUUCGACAGAGCACUGUAAGCCACGAAUCAUUUUAUGAAGGACUAGAAUCUGAAUAUGAUUUGGAAAGUGUCGUCAGUGAUGAAGGUGUCCCUUUAGAAAGCUGUGAUUCAUCGACAUACAACUCUUCGGACAGCGACUCAGACUAUGCAACUGAGAAGAAUGAAGUCAACGAGCAAGACUUCCAUCACGCUGAUAUUGAAGAAAUCCUUGUAGAUGACAACGAUGUCGAUGGUGCUACUGAGUUACGAAACUUCUUGGCCACCUUCGUAACGAACAAAAAUCUCUCCGGGAGUGCUGGGAAUUAUUUGUUGAAAGGAUUAAAGGCUCUGAAUCGAAUUCAAUUUUGUCUAUCAAAUAUGUUGAUUGUCUUUCUCCUACCUUACAACUAUGGCCAGUAGCAUUCAUUUUGCAUAAAAUUUUUCUUGUACCAAAUGUUUUUAAUUGUGAAGAGGCUGAAGAAGGAGGUGAACGUUAUGUGGCUUUUCCACUUCUCAUGGAAAAUAAAAUUGAGUGAAUAUCAAUACAUAAUCAAUUCAUAGAAGAAAA